rnacentral:rRNA from 1 species
GACGAACGCUGGCGGCGUGCUUAACACAUGCAAGUCGAACGGAAAGGCCCUGCUUUUGUGGGGUGCUCGAGUGGCGAACGGGUGAGUAACACGUGAGUAACCUGCCCUUGACUUUGGGAUAACUUCAGGAAACUGGGGCUAAUACCGGAUAGGAGCUCCUGCUGCAUGGUGGGGGUUGGAAAGUUUCGGCGGUUGGGAUGGACUCGCGGCUUAUCAGCUUUUUGGGGGGGUAGUGGCUUACCAAGGCUUUGACGGGUAGCCGGCCUGAGAGGGUGACCGGCCACAUUGGGACUGAGAUACGGCCCAGACUCCUACGGGAGGCAGCAGUGGGGAAUAUUGCACAAUGGGCGGAAGCCUGAUGCAGCAACGCCGCGUGCGGGAUGACGGCCUUCGGGUUGUAAACCGCUUUCGCCUGUGACGAAGCGUGAGUGACGGUAAUGGGUAAAGAAGCACCGGCUAACUACGUG